rnacentral:rRNA from 1 species
UUGAACGCUGGCGGCAUGCCUUACACAUGCAAGUCGAACGCGAAAGGGGGCAACCCUGAGUAGAGUGGCGAACGGGUGAGUAAUGCAUCGGAACGUGUCCUGUAGCGGGGGACAACCCCGAGAAAUCGGGGCUAAUACCGCAUAUUCUGUGAGCAGGAAAGAGGGGGAUCGCAAGACCUCUCGCUUCCUGAGCGGCCGAUGUCGGAUUAGCUAGUUGGCGGGGUAAAGGCCCACCAAGGCGACGAUCCGUAGCGGGUCUGAGAGGAUGAUCCGCCACACUGGGACUGAGACACGGCCCAGACUCCUACGGGAGGCAGCAGUGGGGAAUUGUGGACAAUGGGCGCAAGCCUGAUCCAGCCAUGCCGCGUGAGUGAAGAAGGCCUUCGGGUUGUAAAGCUCUUUCGGCGGGGAAGAAAUCGCGCUUUCUAAUACAGAGCGUGGAUGACGGUACCCGAAUAAGAAGCACCGGCUAACUACGU